GGAGAAGGGCCAUAGCUCAAUGGCAGAACAUCUGAUUUCAAUGCAGAAGGUCCUAGGUUCAAUCCCUGGCAUCUCCA